UACAGAGGUCCCAAGCGUUGUUCGGAUUUAUUGGGCGUAAAGGGUGCGUAGGCGGCGGAGUAAGUUGGGUGUGAAAUCCCGGGGCUCAACCUCGGAAUUGCAUUCAAUACUGCUUCGCUAGAGUACUGGAGAGGAGGCUGGAAUUUACGGUGUAGCAGUGAAAUGCGUAGAUAUCGUAAGGAAGGCCGGUGGCGAAAGCGAGCCUCUGGACAGUUACUGACGCUGAUGCACGAAGGCCAGGGGAGCAAACGGG
rnacentral:rRNA from 1 species